rnacentral:rRNA from 1 species
AUUGAACGCUGGCGGCAGGCCUAACACAUGCAAGUCGAGCGGAUGAAGGGAGCUUGCUCCUGGAUUCAGCGGCGGACGGGUGAGUAAUGCCUAGGAAUCUGCCUUGUAGUGGGGGAUAACGUCCGGAAACGGGCGCUAAUACCGCAUACGUCCUGAGGGAGAAAGUGGGGGAUCUUCGGACCUCACGUUAUCAGAUGAGCCUAGGUCGGAUUAGCUAGUUGGUGGGGUAAAGGCCUACCAAGGCGACGAUCCGUAACUGGUCUGAGAGGAUGAUCAGUCACACUGGAACUGAGACACGGUCCAGACUCCUACGGGAGGCAGCAGUGGGGAAUAUUGGACAAAGGGCGAAAGCCUGAUCCAGCCAUGCCGCGUGUGUGAAGAAGGUCUUCGGAUUGUAAAGCACUUUAAGUUGGGAGGAAGGGCAGUAAGUUAAUACCUUGCUGUUUUGACGUUACCAACAGAAUAAGCACCGGCUAACUUCGUG